AAUAAGCGGUUGGCGGCGCGCUUAAUACACGCACGUAGAGGAGCAGCAUAGGGUAGCAAUACUGGGUGGCGACCGGCAAACGGGUGCGGAACACGUACGCAACCUUCCUCCGAGAGGGGCAUAGCCCGGAGAAAUCCGGAUUAACACCCCGUAAGAUUGUGGAUAGGCAUCUAUCAGCAAUAAAAACUACGGUGCUUGGAGAUGGGCGUGCGUCUGAUUAGGUAGUUGGUAAGGUAACGGCUUACCAAGCCGACGAUCAGUAACUGGCGUGAGAGCGCGACCAGUCACACGGGCACUGAGACACGGGCCCGACUCCUACGGGAGGCAGCAGUAAGGAAUAUUGGUCAAUGGAGGCAACUCUGAACCAGCCAUGCCGCGUGGAGGAUGAAGGUCCUCUGGAUUGUAAACUUCUUUUAUCUGGGAAGAAACGGGUCUUAUCUAAGAUUUUUGACGGUACCAGAAGAAUAAGCACCGGCUAACUCCGUGCCAGCAGCCGCGGUAAUACGGAGG
rnacentral:rRNA from 1 species